rnacentral:rRNA from 1 species
AACGGAUAUCUCGGCUCUCGCCACGAUGAAGAAUGUAGCGAAAUGCGAUACUUAGUGUGAAUUGCAGAAUCCCGUGAAUCAUCAAGUCUUUGAACGCAAGUUGCGCCCGAGGCUUCGGCCAAGGGCACGUCUGCUUGGGCGUCGC